UACGUAGGGUCCGAGCGUUGUCCGGAAUUAUUGGGCGUAAAGGGCUCGUAGGUGGCCAACUAAGUCAGACGUGAAAUCCCUCGGCUUAACCGGGGAACUGCGUCUGAUACUGGAUGGCUUGAGUUCGGGAGAGGGAUGCGGAAUUCCAGGUGUAGCGGUGAAAUGCGUAGAUAUCUGGAGGAACACCGGUGGCGAAGGCGGCAUCCUGGACCGACACUGACGCUGAUGCGCGAAAGCGUGGGGAGCAAACGGG
rnacentral:rRNA from 1 species